rnacentral:rRNA from 1 species
CCUACGGGGGGCAGCAGUGAGGAAUAUUGGUCAAUGGCCGGAAGGCUGAACCAGCCAUGCCGCGUGAAGGUCAGUGCCCUAUGGGCGUUAAACUUCUGUUGUGCGGGAGCAAUAAUGGUCACGUGUGGCCAGACGAGAGUACCGUACGAAUAAGCAUCGGCUCACUCCGUGCCAGCAGCCGCGGUAAUACGGGUGAUGCCAGCGUUAUCCGGAUUUAUUGGGGUGAAAGGGGGCGUAGGCUGUGAGGUAAGUCAGCGGUGAAAUGCCCGCGCUCAACGGGGUGAAGUGCCAUUGAUACUGGCGUGCUGGAAUGCGGAUGCCGUGGGAGGAAUGUGUGGUGUAGCGGUGAAAUGCAUAGAUAUCACACAGAACACCGAUUGCGAAGGCAUCUUACGAAGCCGCGAUUGACGCUGAUGCACGAAAGCGUGGGUAUCAAACAGGAUUAGAUACCCUUGUAGUC